rnacentral:snRNA from 1 species
GUGCUUGCCUUGGCAGCACAUAGAUUAAAAUCAGAAGGAUACAGAGAAGAUUAGCAAGGCCUCUGCAUCAGGAUGACAUGCAAAAUUCAUGAAGCAUUCCAUAUUUUC